GGUUAAACUGUGAGUUCGGCGCGAUCGUGAAAGCGAAUAGUGAUUACUGAUUAUUUUGAUUUAUACAAUGGUUUUUACCAUCGGGAGCGUUUGUAGCGAAAUAAAGUUCAGCAACAACAGGAAGAAGACAUCACAGCUAUCUUUUUUUAAGUUUCCUAAGGAUCCUGAGAGGAGCAGAAAAUGGCUAGUUAAUAGCAGACAAGAAGACCUUAUGAAGAAAGACCCAGUUUACCUGUGUGAUAAUAUUAGGUUUUGUUCGCUACAUUUUGAACAAAACCAGUUCAUGAACGCAGAUAAUAACAAAUUCGUGUGGAAUGCAGUACCCGCACUGUUUGACAUUCCAAAUAAGCCAUCUCAACUGACGAUGAAGAGGAAACUUUCACAAAGAUUUGACAGUUUUUAUUGUCAUUUCAAAAGUUAUGAAGACAAAUUUGGAAGCUUGGUUAUUUGCAGUGAAAAUGUUUGUUUAUUUUUGAGGGAUUGUGAAAAUCAGAUGGCUUCAGUUUUUGAUGAACAUUUCACAAGAAAAACUGUGGUGAAUUAUAUGUGAACUUGUUGAUAGCUAUCCCAAGUUUUCCUCCUGGAUGUUGUGAAGAAGCUAAGCUGCUGUUGAUCAAGAUAUUUGUUAAAGUCAGACUUGUUUACUGGCUCAAAUAUUGGAAUCAAGACUUAGUUUCUAACAACAAGAAAGCAAAUAAGAAACUGAAGAAGUUGGCUCAUGAUUCUUUGUAUUCACCACUGGAGGCGCUGCAACUCUUCUUGCGUCAGGGGCAGCAGCAGCGUCUGGGAGCUUGCACAUUACUUCAGGGAAAGCACUUUUGUAUUUUCACUGCAUAUAAAGGUUCCGUCU